ACUCCUACGGGAGGCAGCAGUAGGGAAUAUUGGUCAAUGGACGGAAGUCUGAACCAGCCAUGCCGCGUGCAGGAAGACGGCCUUCUGGGUUGUAAACUGCUUUUAUCAGGGAAGAAUAAGCUUCUUGCGAGAGGUGAUGCCGGUACCUGAGGAAUAAGCACCGGCUAACUCCGUGCCAGCAGCCGCGGUAAUACGGAGGGUGCGAGCGUUAAUCGGAAUUACUGGGCGUAAAGCGCAUGCAGGUGGUUUGUUAAGUCAGAUGUGAAAGCCCGGGGCUCAACCUCGGAAUAGCAUUUGAAACUGGCAGACUAGAGUACUGUAGAGGGGUGAGAAUUUCAGGUGUAGCGGUGAAAUGCGUAGAGAUCUGAAGGAAUACCGGUGGCGAAGGCGGCCCCUGCGCAGAUACUGACACUCAGAUGCGAAAGCGUGGGGAGCAAACAGGAUUAGAUACCCUGGUAGGCUCU
rnacentral:rRNA from 1 species